GCCUCGAUAGCUCAGUUGGGAGAGCGUUAGACUGAAGUCCCGGAAGCCGGCAUACUGGCUUGACAAAUUGGAGAUCUAAAGGUCCCUGGUUCAAUCCCGGGUCGAGGCA
rfam:Branchiostoma floridae genomic scaffold BRAFLscaffold_234, whole genome shotgun sequence.